UACAGAGGUCUCAAGCGUUGUUCGGAUUCAUUGGGCGUAAAGGGUGCGUAGGUGGCGCCGUAAGUCAGGUGUGAAAUCUCGGGGCUCAACCCCGAAACUGCACUUGAUACUGAGGUGAUCGAGUACUGGAGAGGAGAUUGGAAUUUACGGUGUAGCAGUGAAAUGAGUAGAUAUCGUAAGGAAGACCAGUGGAGAAGGCGAAUAGAGGGACAGUUACUGACACUGAGGAACGAAGGCCAGGGGAGCAAACGGG
rnacentral:rRNA from 1 species